CGCAUCUGUGCAUGCAGCAUAUCAAUAAGCGGAGGAAAAGAAACUAACAAGGAUUCCCCUAGUAACGGCGAGUGAAGCGGGAAGAGCUCAAAUUUGAAAUCUUAAAGGGUUUCCCUUUACGAAUUGUAGUUUAAAGAAGUGUUUUCUGUUGAGGUUUUGGUAAAAGUUCUUUGGAAUAGGACAUCAUAGAGGGUGAGAAUCCCGUAUUUGACCUUUACUUUCAACUUUGUGAUACACUUUCAAAGAGUCGGAUUGUUUGGGAAUGCAGUCCAAAAUGGGUGGUAAAUUUCAUCUAAAGCUAAAUAUUGGCGAGAGACCGAUAGCGAACAAGUACCGUGAGGGAAAGAUGAAAAGAACUUUGAAAAGAGAGUUAAACAGUACGUGAAAUUGUCAAAAGGGAAGCGUUUGACACCAGUGUUGUUUUUCUGAAAAUCAAUUGAAGAACUGUUUAUGCUAAGCUGUUUAGACUUUAUCAGCUAUCUGUUUAGUUUUGAGCUUUUCUUUAAUGCACUUUUCAGUUAACAAGUCAACAUCAAUUUCUUUUGCCGUAAAAAAGCUUGAGGAAGGUGGCUUGAGAUUCGUCUUAAGUGUUUAUAGCCUCUUGCCUAUGCAGUCGGAGAGAUUGAGGUCUGCAGCGUAGAUCCUUCGGGGCUAAAUGCAUUUGUGCUAAGUUAUAGCAUUUCAUAGACAACUUGUUGACUAUGAUUUGUCUUGUAGCUUACUCGCUUAUGUUAUUUUACCUACGCUUAGGAUGUUGACAGCAGUAUAGACUGU
rnacentral:rRNA from 1 species